rnacentral:rRNA from 1 species
UACGGAGGGUGCAAGCAUUAAUCGGAUUUAUUGGGCGUAAAGGGCGCGUAGGCGGAUUUAUAAGUCGGAUGUGAAAUCCCGGGGCUCAACCCCGGAACGGCAUUUGAAACUGUGAAUCUAGAGGGUAGACGGAGAAAACGGAAUUCCACAAGUAGCGGUGAAAUGCGUAGAUAUCGGGAGGAACACCAGUGGCGAAGGCGGUUGCCUGGAGCUUUGCUGACGCUGAGGCGCGAAAGCGUGGGGAGCGAUCCGG